AGCCGUCAUGACAGAUUUCAAACAGCACUGUCUUAACCCGGAGUCAAAUUUCACCAAAAGACUCCUGCGAGAUCUAAAAAUAACAACAACAACAACAACAACAACAACUGCAACCACAACAAAAUCAGCAGCAACAUCAUCUUCUGUCACGAGGCAGUGACAUUAACGCUGCUAUUCCUUCUGUUUGUGUUGGUUAGAUUUUAUUUAAGUCUACAAACAUUUGUACCAGCAGCUAAAACUAAAAUAUUUAUUUCAGGCAACGACAGGCUUGUUAAUCAGCAAAUUGUGACUUUCCAAAAUUAUCUGUCAGUUUGUAUUUUUAAGUUUAAUCAGUGGAAGCUAAUGCUGUGAACCAGAAAAGCUUUGCCUCGUUCCCUUUGGGAAGAUGUAGACUUUUUGUUUUUCAUAAUUUUGUUUUAAUUCAUAUACGUGUAUGUAUUUUUGUAUUUUAUUGCACUGUACAUAAAAUCCACUUGCUGUUGAUGGUUAAAUUACAAUAAAUACAAACCCAAAUA